rnacentral:tRNA from 1 species
GCCGCGGUGGCGGAAUCGGUAGACGCGUAGGUCUCAAAAACCUAUGAGACUCAAAUCUCGUGUGGGUUCGAUUCCCACCCGCGGCA